CCUACGGGGGGCAGCAGUGAGGAAUAUUGGUCAAUGGACGAGAGUCUGAACCAGCCAAGUAGCGUGAAGGAUGACUGCCCUAUGGGUUGUAAACUUCUUUUGUAUGGGAGUAAAAUGUUCCACGUGUGGGGUUCUGUAUGUACCAUAUGAAUAAGGAUCGGCUAACUCCGUGCCAGCAGCCGCGGUAAUACGGAGGAUCCGAGCGUUAUCCGGAUUUAUUGGGUUUAAAGGGUGCGUAGGUGGAUUGUUAAGUCAGUUGUGAAAGUUUGGGGCUCAACCCUAAAAUUGCCGUUGAAACUGGUAGUCUUGAGUACAGGAGAGGUGGGCGGAAUGCGUGGUGUAGCGGUGAAAUGCUUAGAUAUCACGAAGAACUCCGAUUGCGAAGGCAGUUCACCGGACUGCAACUGACACUGAGGCACGAAAGUGUGGGUAUCAAACAGGAUUAGAUACCCUUGUAGUC
rnacentral:rRNA from 1 species